UACAGAGGCCUCGAGCGUUAGGCGGAAUCACUGGGCUUAAAGCGUGUGUAGGCGGCCUGGUAAGUACCUUGUGAAAUCCCACAGCUUAACUGUGGAACUGCUCGGUAUACUGCUGGUCUUGAGCCACUCAGGGGCUACCGGAACAAAUGGUGGAGCGGUGAAAUGCGUAGAUAUCAUUUGGAACGCCAAUGGUGAAAACAGGUAGCUGGGGGUGUGCUGACGCUGAGACACGAAAGCCAGGGGAGCAAACGGG
rnacentral:rRNA from 1 species